GCGAUCUCAAUAACGGCGGAGAGAAUUUACCUGCCAAAUCUUGAUUAAAGGAAAGCAGGAGUUUGGGGUGCAGCAAAUGGACCACGAAACGGACGAGAACGAUUCCAGUGGAAGAUUGGAUCCGAAACCUUCAGAUGAAAUACCGUUUAUAAUAAGAUUGGCGCUGCUCGCACGUGUGACUUCAGAUGUGAAAGAGACAGGUCUCCACAGAAGUAAAAUGCACUGUAAGAAAAAGGAAAGAAAGAACCAGAUACCUUAGAUGAAGAGCUAAUAAGAUAA